UUGAAGACAUUUGCUAUGUCUGGGUUCUCUUAAUAGAUACAAAACAAUAGUGGACAGUAAGAAGAAGACUGGGAGUGGUCAACAGUUGGGUCUUUUUCUCAUCAAUGGAGGACCUCCUGGCUGAUCCCAGUGUGGAGCCGGUCCUGGUCAUGUCAUCUUUUGCUGAGGCUUCUUCAGGAUCAUCAACUUCGCAAUCAUCAAAUUCACAACCUAAGGCAUCAGCAGAAUGUAGCAAAAGGAGAAGGCGCAAGUCUUAAAGGGGGGGUGAAAUGCUAUUUCAUGCAUACUGAGUUUUUUUACACUGUUGAAGAGUUGGAUUCCCAUGCUAAACAUGGACAAAGUUUAAAAAAUGAAGUUGUACGUUUGAAGGAGUAUUUUGGGAACAAAAAUACUCCUUCAAACGUACAACUUCAUUUUUGUCACAACUUCCGGUUUUUCACAAGUUUCAGAAAGUUUUUUUCGAGUAUGGCUCUGUGUGACGUUAGAUGGAGCGGAAUUUCCUUAUAAAAUGGCAAUGGAUAAAAAAAUCAGCAGGGAGGAGACAUGCCAUGGCAUAACAUCUCUAUAGAAGACUUGAAGUCUUACCUGGCACUUGUUGUGUACAUGAGUCUUGUGAAGUUCUCCGCUGUGACUGAUUAUUGGAGGAGGUCUUAAAAUCUAUAAUGUUCCCCUUCCUGCUAAGAUCAUGUCCUGUAGGGAGUUUCUCAGAAUGAUGAAGAAAAGGGAAGAGCAGCCUACGACCGCUUGGGUAAGAUCAAGUCUCUCUAUGACAACAUGAGGGAUGCCUCCAGAACAUUUUUUCAUCCAAAUCACAACAUCUCCAUAGAUGAGAGGAUGGUGGCAUCAAAGGCGAGGUCUGGACUCAAACAAUACAUGAAGAACAAACCCACUAAAUGGGGCUACAAGCUUUUUGUCUUGGCAGACUCACUAAGUGGUUACAACUGUGCAUUCUUUGUGUAUGAAGGUAAGUCCAUGCCAUCUCAAAAUGGGCUGAGCUGUGAGCCUGUCAUGUCACUCAUAGACGUAAAGAUGUUGGGCACUGUUUACUAACUGUACGUUGACAACUUUACCCCAGUCCCAUGCUUCUCAGAGACCUCCUUCUCUAAGAGGAUUUGGGCAUGUGGCACCAUUCGUCCAAACAGGAUCAGUUUCCCAAAGACAACCAUCAACAUGAGGGUCCAUACAAUGAGGGUCCAUUCAAUUAAAGGGGAUGAGCUGCUGUUGGUGGAAAGGAAAGACACCCGGGAAGUACUGAUGUGUUUUACAUUCCACAGAGCAAAGAAGGGUGAAGGACAAUGAUGGGCAGUGGUCCCAAGUGUGUCUACUAAAGUGUCUCAAAUGUGCCUAUUCCAGGUGCUGUGCUGGUUACCAACAGGUUCAUGGGGGGAGUGGACCUGUCCGAUGCCCUCAUUGGAUACUACAAAGUGCUCCACAAGACACGGAAAUGGCUUGGAAUGAGGCACAGCUGCUCCUCAGGCUUCAAAAGUUGACUGCCACAAUCCAAAGCAUGUCACAGAGGACAGCACUGCUGGAUGGAGAAAGUGCAAGCUUUGCCAUCAGAAGACACCAGUCGUGUGUGAAACCUGUGAGGUGCCACUGUGUUUUCUGCCAAAAUGGGACUGUUACAAUGUCCGGCAUGAGCAGGGUGGGAAAUAUAU